rfam:Globodera pallida, Lindley, WGS project CBXT01000000 data, contig: pathogens_Gpal_scaffold_288_contig_23
GCCCCGGUAGCUCAGUGCAAAAGAAGCCCACGUUGGGUAAAUGUCGUGGGUUCGAGUCCCACUCGGGGUU